rnacentral:rRNA from 1 species
UACGGAGGGUGCAAGCGUUAUCCGGAUUCACUGGGUUUAAAGGGUGCGUAGGCGGGUAAGUAAGUCAGUGGUGAAAUCUUCAAGCUUAACUUGGAAACUGCCAUUGAUACUAUUUAUCUUGAAUGUUCUGGAGGUCAGCGGAAUAUGUCAUGUAGCGGUGAAAUGCUUAGAUAUGACAUAGAACACCUAUUGCGAAGGCAGCUGACUACGGAAAUAUUGACGCUGAGGCACGAAAGCGUGGGGAUCAAACAGG